GAUCCUGGCUCAGGAUGAACGCUAGCGGCAGGCCUAACACAUGCAAGUCGAGGGGCAUCGGGAUUGAAGCUUGCUUCAAUUGCCGGCGACCGGCGCACGGGUGCGUAACGCGUAUGUAACCUACCUAUAACAGGGGCAUAACACUGAGAAAUUGGUACUAAUUCCCCAUAAUAUUCGGAGAGGCAUCUCUCCGGGUUGAAAACUCCGGUGGUUAUAGAUGGACAUGUCGUUGUUAAUUAGACUUAGGUUGGGG
rnacentral:rRNA from 1 species